GUACUUCCAGUUUUUACACUGCAUCUACUGUUGGAAGAAGUGUACGGCUGACUAAAAUACUUUCACUGUGAAUAUGAAUCACUCCGUAGCCAAGAGGACAAGGAACGUGCCGAAAGGAGAAAUGGGUGGUGGAGCGUGAGCUGAAGUUCUGCGGAAACCUAACCAAAACAGCCCAGCAGCAAGCACAGGGACAGCAGCAGCGUAUGUCUCAGUGAGGAUCGCCGGCUGAUUUAUUUUUCUAUAUAUUCAUUUGUUUCCAUGAAAUGUUUUGCUGAUCCCACAAGAGUGGAGGUCCGGAAGUAAAGAAGGAAAUUGGGAAUAAUUCUGCUGAAACCCGUGGAUUUACGCUGCUUUGAUCUUGGCUUAAGUGCGAAGAGACUCAGAUGGAUCGAGCCUGCUCCAGAGCCCUCCGGCGUCAGCGGAAAGGCUGCCAGCAAGCGCUGAACCGAAGCCACGGUCCUUGCCCCAAGGAUUUUACAAUCUGUGGAAGAUUAAUCUUUUGUCUCCGCUUUGCUCCUCUGAGAUGGGGAAAAAACUAUAUUUGCUGGAAACGCUCAAAGAGCAGCCAGUUUUCUGGUAGACGCGAUGGCUUCUGCCCCGGCCCAGACACGGAAAGCAGCAAGGGAUGCGGCACGCUAACCGCGCUUUUAAGGACCGUCAGCGACGGCUAUGGCUUGCAGGACGGGAGAAAACGCCGGGGGCUUUCAGUCCACGGCAUUUCAUCCGCUUCGGUUCUGCGGCCACACAUUUUCGGGUCCGCAUCCACACGCCUUGCUCGGAUCGAAUCCCUUCUUCGUCCAGAAGGGAGUUACAGGUUUUGCUGGAUACAAGAGCAAGCCAUACAAUUUGUGUACUUAAUAUCAACAGUAUGCUCUGUUUAG
rnacentral:lncRNA from 1 species